rfam:Triticum aestivum genome assembly, contig: Triticum_aestivum_CS42_TGACv1_scaffold_392741_5AS
ACGUUACUCCCUCCGUUCGAAAAUACUUGUCGGAAAAAUUGAUGUAUCUAGACAUAUUAUAGUUCUAGAUACAUUUAUUUUUAUGCAUUUUUUCAACAAGUACUUCCGGACAGAGGGAGUACUUU